GGCGCUGUGGCUUAGUUGUUAAAGUGCUUGUCUUGUAAAAAAGAGAUCCCGAGUUCAACUCUCAGCAGUGCCU
rnacentral:tRNA from 1 species